rnacentral:lncRNA from 1 species
AGCUAUUGGCAAAGUAGGGCCGACCUAGCUUCGUUUCUCCCAAAUAGGUGGGGAUCACGUGGUUUGAAGUACCGAGGAACACUUCAAGGACCUCCACAACGAUUAUCGACUACAAAAGGUGGGGGGUGUCAUCCCGAAGCAACCGGACUCUUUUCUAUGUCGUAGAAUAACAUAUAAUUUCAUCUCUUGCAUGUUGCAUUGUAGGAUUGCAUGUUUAACCUUCUCCUUAUGCUUUCUAAAUGGUAACCUAGUAUGCAUGGAAUGCUAGGUGAAUAGGAUAGGUGAGGAUUGGGUCGGAACAUUAGAUCCUAUAGUGCUAAAGAAAAGAGGUGAACUUGAUGGUUAUCUAGUGACUUAAAGAGUGGCAUCUAAAUGUCUAAAGAACAAACGAGUGGCAUUAAUGUAGUGUACUUGACACUAGAGGUUUGAGAACCUAGGGAUAGGUGAAUCCCUAUAACACACUAGACCUUUGCAAAUUGCGAGGUUCGAGUGUUUGAUCAGUGUGUCGAGCUUUUUCAGACUUUCUGGAAGGUCGUAGACAGUGUUCCGACCUAUGGCUCGCAUCCCGAGAAUUGUGGUUUUAAGCUGGUGCCAAAAGCCCAAAAAGAUUGGACCUUGGUCAGCUCUCGGGUAGCCUGCAGCAGAGCUUGUACCGGAACAAGACUGGUCUUGUACCGGUACAAGGUUGAUGGUUGUACCGGUACAGCCAUCGGGCUUGUACCGG